UACCUGGUUGAUCCUGCCAGUAGUCAUAUGCUUGUCUCAAAGAUUAAGCCAUGCAAGUCUAAGUACGAGCUCUCGUACAGUGAAACUGCGAAUGGCUCAUUAAAUCAGUUAUGGUUCAUUUGAUCGUACAGUUUACUUGGAUAACUGUGGUAAUUCUAGAGCUAAUACAUGCGAGAAGCGCCGACCUCGCGGGAGGCGUGCAUUUAUCAGACCAAAAACCGGCCGCGUCUUCGGGCGCGUUCGCCUUGGUGACUCUGGAUAACUUUGCGGAUCGCACGGUCUAGCACCGGCGACGGAUCAUUCAAGUGUCUGCCAUAUCAACUUUCGUCGGUACGGUAUUUGCCUACCGAGGUUCUUACGGGUGACGGGGAAUCAGGGUUCGAUUCCGGAGAGGGAGCCUGAGAAACGGCUACCACAUCCAAGGAAGGCAGCAGGCGCGCAAAUUACCCAUUCCCGACGCGGGGAGGUAGUGACGAAAAAUAACAAUGCAGGACUCGUUCGAGGCCCUGUAAUUGGAAUGAGUACACUUUAAAAGCUUUAACGAGUAUCCAUUGGAGGGCAAGUCUGGUGCCAGCAGCCGCGGUAAUUCCAGCUCCAAAAGUAUAUAUUUAAGUUGUUGCGGUUAAAAAGCUCGUAGUUGGAUUUUGGGCGCAGGCGGCCGGUCCGUCGCAAGGCGUGUACUGGACGUCCUGGCCUUCCCUCCGGUUCUCCGCCGGUGCUCUUGACUGAGUGUCGGCGGCGGCCGGAACGUUUACUUUGAAAAAAUUAGAGUGUUCAAAGCAGGCUCUCGAGCCUGGAUAAUGGUGCAUGGAAUAAUGGAAUAGGACCUCGGUUCUAUUUUGUUGGUUUUCGGAGCGCGAGGUAAUGAUUAAGAGGGACAGACGGGGGCAUUCGUACUGUGCCGUUAGAGGUGAAAUUUUUGGAUCGGCGCAAGACGAACGACUGCGAAAGCAUUUGCC
rnacentral:ncRNA from 1 species